UGUCCCAUGCUAAAGCAGCUAAUGUACCAAUUGUAGUUGCAAUUAAUAAAUGUGACAAACCUGCAGCCAAUCCUGAGAGAGUUAAAAUCCAGCUUGCAUCGGAGGGCUUGCAGCUGGAGGAGAUGGGUGGGGAUGUUCAAGUUGUUGAAGUGUCAGCUGUUAAAAAUACUGGAUUGGAUGAUUUGGAGGAGGCUUUACUUCUUCAGGCGGAGAUUAUGGACCUAAAAGCGCGUGUUGAUGGCCCUGCUCAAGCUUAUGUAGUAGAGGCUAGACUUGACAAAGGACGUGGUCCAUUGGUUACUGCAAUAGUGAAAGCAGGGACUUUGGUUUGUGGACAGCAUGUGGUUGUGGGUUCUGAGUGGGGCAGAAUAAGAGCUAUUAGGGACAUGGUAGGGAAGUUAACUGAUAGGGCUAAACCAGCAAUGCCGAUUGAGAUUGAGGGGCUUAAGGGGCUUCCUAUGGCUGGUGAUGAUAUUGUUGUUGUGGAAUCUGAAGAGCGAGCUAGGAUGCUUAGUGCAGGGAGGAAAAGGAAAUUUGAGAAAGAUAGACUUAUGCAGAUGAUUGAUGAAACGACGGAAACCACAGAAGCAUCAGAUGACAUGCCUGUGCCUGAGAGGAUUGAAAUGCCAAUAAUUGUAAAAGCAGAUGUGCAGGGAACUGUCCAGGCUGUAACAGAUGCACUAAAGACUUUAAAUAGUCCCCAGGUUUUUGUGAAUGUAGUCCAUGUUGGUGUUGGGCCUAUUUCUCAGUCUGAUGUGGACUUGGCACAAGCCUGUGGUGCUUGUAUAGUUGGAUUCAAUGUGAAGACUCCACCUAGCUCUGUUAGUUUGGCUGCAACUCAAGCCAGGAUAAAGAUAAUGCAACACCGUGUGAUCUAUCACCUUUUGGAGGAAGCUGGCAAAUUAAUAGUGGAAAAGGCCCCUGGAACUUUUGAGACCCAGGUAGCUGGGGAGGCUGAAGUGCUGAAUAUCUUUGAGCUCAAGGGGAGGAGCAAGUCUGUAGGAGCUGAUGUGACGAUUGCUGGCUGCAGGGUGAUAGAUGGCCAUGUUACCAAAUCAGCAAUCAUGAGGCUUCUAAGGAGUGGGGA
rnacentral:misc_RNA from 1 species